rnacentral:rRNA from 1 species
AAGACCCGUGCCCACAGUUGCCAGCAUACCCUCCGGGGUGAUGGGCACACUGUGGGGACCGCCGCUGCUAAAGCGGAGGAAGGCGCGGGCUACGGUAGGUCAGUAUGCCCCGAAUCAUCCGGGCUACACGCGGGCUACAAUGGUUGGGACAAUGGGCACCUACACCGAAAGGUGAUGGUAAUCUCCUAAACCCAGCCUUAGUUCGGAUUGAGGGCUGCAACUCGCCCUCAUGAAGCCGGAAUCCGUAGUAAUCGCGUAUCAAUAUCACGCGGUGAAUAC